rnacentral:rRNA from 1 species
UACGUAGGGCGCAAGCGUUGUCCGGAAUUAUUGGGCGUAAAGAGCUCGUAGGCGGUUUGUCGCGUCUGCUGUGAAAACCUGAGGCUCAACCUCGGGCUUGCAGUGGGUACGUGCAGACUAGAGUGCGGUAGGGGUGACUGGAAUUCCUGGUGUAGCGGUGGAAUGCGCAGAUAUCAGGAGGAACACCGAUGGCGAAGGCAGGUCACUGGGACGGUACUGACGCUGAGACGCGAAAGCGUGGGGAGCGAACAGG